CUCAAAAAUAGUGAGUUUGUCAAAUCUGAGUGAAAAAAGCCAGAAGAGCCGAGGGGAAACGAGAGAAUGUCAUUUAGGUGAUAUUUUGUAGUAGUGCUAUAAGAAGCUGUCAUGUGAAAUGUGUAAAGUGAAAUGAAUGAAAGGUGUCGAUCUCGGCAUUUAAUUUAUGUUAGAUUUGCUUUAUUACAUUACAUCAGAUUUCUUUUUGAGUGUUGUGAGAUGAUUCUGCGGUCUGCAGUGUUGAGCAUUAUAACCAAUCACACAUGAUCCUCUUGAGUUUAUGAAUGCAAUAUCCAAUCAGAGGCGUUUUGAUUCGUCACUGCAGAGUUGUUUAGUGUGCUCUCUCAGUUUUAGACUGAAGUCAUGAAGCGCUGUGUUUCUUUACGUUAUUUAUUCCCUGUUUGAAUAUCCGUUUUGUUUGUCGUGCUGCUGAAAUAACAAUAUUGUGAAGUCUUCAUUAUCUAAUCUGUAAAAUGGAAUUCAUAAACAGUUCAUGCUUUUCCCCUUGAAACAACACAGAUACAAUUCAAUCAUUCAUAUGCUAUAAAA